rnacentral:rRNA from 2 species
CCAAUAGCGUAUAUUAAAGUUGUUGCAGUUAAAAAGCUCGUAGUUGAAUUUCAGGCCUGGCUGGACGGUCCGCCCUUCGGGUGAGUACUGUCUGUGGUCGGGUCCUACCUUCUGGCGAAGCGUCAUGGCCUUAACCGGCCGUGGCGGGGAACCAGGACUUUUACUGUGAAAAAAUUAGAGUGUUCAAAGCAGGCAAUCGCUUGGAUACAUUAGCAUGGAAUAAUGGAAUAGGACAAUGGUUCUAUUUGUUGGUCUCUAGGACCGUUGUAAUGAUUAAUAGGGAUAGUUGGGGGCAUUAGUAUUCAAUUGUCAGAGGUGAAAUUCUUGGAUUUAUUGAAGACUAACUACUGCGAAAGCAUUUGCCAAGGAUGUUUUCAUUAAUCAAGAACGAAAGUUAGGGGAUCGAAGACGAUCAGAUACCGUCGUAGUCUUAACCAUAAACUAUGCCGACUAGGAAUCGGGCGAUGUUGAAAAAAUGACGCGCUCGGCACCUCAUG